rnacentral:rRNA from 1 species
AUUCCAGCUCCAAUAGCGUAUAUUAAAGUUGUUGCAGUUAAAAAGCUCGUAGUUGGAUUUCUGGUUCAGAGGGCUUGGCCCAUGGCCAAUUCUAGGUUCAUGAGUGCCGAUGCUUUCGUACCAUCCUUCCGGUGAUGAUUCAGGUCCCCUUCAUUGGGUCAGCCUGGUUGUUCCGGAUCUUUUACUUUGAAAAAAUUAGAGUGUUUAAAGCAAGCUGUGUGUUGAAUACAUUAGCAUGGAAUAAUAAUCUAGGAUUUUGGUUCUAUUUUGUUGGUUUCUAGCGCCAAAGUAAUGAUUGAUAGGGAUAGUUGGGGGUGCUAGUAUUUACCGGCCAGAGGUGAAAUUCUUGGAUUCGGUAAAGACUAACUUAUGCGAAAGCAUUCACCAAGGAUGUCUUCAUCG